AGCCAUUAACACCACCAUCACACCAAUAUCCUAUACAACUAAAACAAAACAUUUAAUCCAGUCAAGUAGAUGCGAUCGAACAACUAACUGUCACCAACAAUUACCGCAAGGGAACAACCAAGCAAAAAAUAGCAAAGAUUAACCCUUGUACCUCUUGCAUCAUGGUUUAGCAAGUAACCCUAGGACAAGAAGAAUCACAGCCCCCCACCCCGAAACCAGAUGAGCUACUUUAAAGCAGCCUCCGGGGCACACCCUUCUCUGUGGCAAAAGAGUGGGAAGACUUAAAAGUAGAGGUGAAACGCCUACCGAAUCUGGAGAUAGCUGGCUACCCAAUUAAGGAAUCUAAGUUCUACUUUAGACCACCCCCAAAUAAACCCUAAUACUCUAAAGACAUUCAAUGAGGGUACAGCCUCAUUGAAACAGGAUACAACCUAAAUUUGAGAGGACAUAAAUCUACCCCCCCCCGUAGGCCUUAAAGCAGCCACCAGUCAAAAUAUCGUUAAAGAAUUAACUAAAAAAAUCCUAAAAUCUGACAAAAACUCCAAACCAACUAAAGGUAGGCCCACUACUGUGGGCACUAUUAUGCUAAAACUAAUAAUAAGAUACCAUCUCUACACGCACCUUUCCGCUAGAAACAGAAAACCUACCAGCAAUCAACAGACCCAAACAGGAAGACACCACCCCACACACAACUACACAUAACACUGUGACCCCAACACAGGCGCGUUAGAAAGAAAGAUUAAAUACUAUAAAAGGAACUCGGCAACCAAAGACCCCAACUGUUUAACAAAAACAUUACCUUUAGCUAAACAAAUAUUAAAGGCAACGCCUGCCCAGUGAACAAUUAAACGGCCGCGGUACCCUAACCGUGCAAAGGUAGCAUAAUCAUUUGUCUAUUAAUUGUAGACCUGUAUGAAAGGCAAAAUGAGGGCCUAACUGUCUCUUAUAGUCAAUCAAUUAAACUGAUCUCCCAGUCCAAAAGCUGGGAUAUAACCAUAAGACCAGAAGACCCUGUGAAGCUUUAACAAAACUAUUAAACCCACUAAUAGCUACUUUAGGUUGGGGCGACCUUGGAAAAAAAAAGAACUUCCAAACAACAUGAUUCUACCUCAUACCCCAUGGCCGACAGGCCAUUAAACCCAGACCCAGCAAAGCUGAUAAUUGAACCAAGUUACUCCAGGGAUAACAGCGCCAUCUUCUUCAAGAGCCCAUAUCAAAAAGAAGGUUUACGACCUCGAUGUUGGAUCAGGACAUCCUAGUGGUGCAGACGCUACUAAGGGUUCGUUUGUUCAACGAUUAACAGUCCCACGUGAUCU
rnacentral:rRNA from 1 species